UUAGAUUCCUUCGUGCAGCAUCGAAAAACGUCCUCAAAUUUAGAACUUGUCACUCUAUCAGCUGUGGUAGAAGGGGAAGAAGUGUCUGGGUCAUCUUCUGUCGCACCGACACCAAAAAAAAGGAAGGAAGAAGUGAACAUGCGGAUUUUGAAAAUUCUUGAGGAGGAGAAGGAUGAUGAUCCAGACAAAUUCUUCCUUCUUUCACUUCUACCACAGCUGAAAAGACUGUCUCCUGAGCGUGCUUCAUCAACAAAGAUGAAAAUCAUGCAAUUACUCCAUGAGGCUGAAUUUGAGAAAUGAUUCAAAUUCAAUUUCCCACUUAAAAAUUAGAAAAUAAAUUCAAACGUUUUUUUAUCUUAAUUACAGUACAUUACUAAAUUUAAUUGACUCCGUACAAACUUGAGCAACCUUCUCUAAACAAGAACUCAAUUUUCUAAAAAUUUUAAUGUUUUUUAUUGUUAGUUUACCUCAACCAUUUUAUUAUUUGUUCAGGCAGUAUGCUUUUUCAUUCUGGCUAUUUCUCAUUACAGCUUCAUGGAGUAUUUGCAUGAUUUUCAUCUUUCUGCUGCUGUUUAUUUUCUUUUAUCAAGCACAAAUUCUUUUUUCAAU